GUUGAGGGGCACAGUACAGAUGAGAAAACAGGAUUCCUGUUCUGAUUCACUGCAUUCCUUGUUCGGAGCCUGGGCAGAGAUACGCCUAAUUCGUCAGAAUCGAACAGUUCUCAGACCAGACAAGAUGUUAACACCAACGCAAACAGUCAAAGUCAGAUGAGCAGCGAAGUGUACCCUGCGCAGGAGUGAGAACAGAAUGCAUGAUGACACUGGUAGUGGUCAAGACACUGGCAUGAGAGUCAGGACCUAGAAAGAUCAGCAGAAAAGGAGUCUUACGGGCAGGCAGGAAGCAGAAUACAGGUAGUGCGGCAACUAAAAGAAGGGAAAGGAGUGCCGGGUCUGAGAAGCUGAAAUAAGCGUACUGAAAGCAAGGAGCAACGCCCAGGCAGAACGCCUGAGCAUUCAGGAACAGAGCAGUUCCAGUGGGUCGGGCAGCUCAGGCACAGGGAACUUAGCAGCAGCCAAUUGUGUCAAGGAAACUUUCACUGUUAUCUCCACUGAAGAAAACCAAGCAACAAGAUCAAAAGAAAACAAUAUGAUCCAAUUGGCUCUUAUAAAAAUAAUCCACAGAAGCUAGCUCUGCCAGGUCAGGGGAAUAAGCCAAAAGAACUCUGUAUGUCUCUGCUCAACGUGUGGACAGCCAACCACAGAAGCCAGGCAUGAGGACAAGCCCAGAGCUUCAUCUCCUUUCCAUGAGCUGAGUCAAAAACAAGGCUCUUGUCUUCUUGCACCAGCCCAGCACACCAUGUCUUUCUCCGCAGUUUCUAUGCUGGAUGGGCCACGUAACCUCCUGGUCCCUUCACAUAAAGAGCAAAGGCGAAGAGGCAGACUGGCGUGGGGAGCCUGCUCCAGGAACAUCCAGUUUUCGCAGAAUCAAUAAGAGAAGACAUGAAAGUGAGACAGCAAUCAAGGGACUGACCUAAGUAAUCCACAAACUGAAACAGAAGAAAGACUACCUCUCCAAAUUCUCAGUUUCUCCAAUCUUUUGACUGAAAUACAAUUUCCAAAAGGGUUUACUACAGAAUGAUAUUUCAUUAUGCCAAAGAACUCACCUCCUGUCCUGCCAGUUUUCUUGUUUCUUACUGGCCAGUGCUCAUUUCAAGAUCUACCAUGCUACUGCUUUUUUAAAAAGUAAAGUUUUACCAAAGAA